rnacentral:rRNA from 1 species
UGGGGAAUAUUGGACAAUGGGCGAAAGCCUGAUCCAGCCAUGCCGCGUGUGUGAAGAAGGUCUUCGGAUUGUAAAGCACUUUAAGAUGGGAGGAAGGGCAGUAAGCGAAUACCUUGCUGUUUUGACGUUACUGACAGAAUAAGCACCGGCUAACUCUGUGCCAGCAGCCGCGGUAAUACAGAGGGUGCAAGCGUUAAUCGGAAUUACUGGGCGUAAAGCGCGCGUAGGUGGUUCGUUAAGUUGAAUGUGAAAGCCCCGGGCUCAACCGGGGAACUGCAUCCAAAACUGGCGAGCUAGAGUAGGGCAGAGGGUGGUGGAAUUUCCUGUGUAGCGGUGAAAUGCGUAGAUAUAGGAAGGAACACCAGUGGCGAAGGCGACCACCUGGGCUCAUACUGACGCUGAGGUGCGAAAGCGUGGGGAGCAAACAGG